rnacentral:rRNA from 1 species
GACGAACGCUGGCGGCGUGCCUAAUACAUGCAAGUAGAACGCAGUUGCGAACGGGUGAGUAACGCGUAGGUAACUGCCUCAGCGCGGGGGAUAACUAUUGGAAACGAUAGCUAAUACCGCAUACUGUGAGAUGGACCUGAGUUGUAUUAGCUAGUUGGUGAGGUAAAGGCUCACCAAGGCGACGAUACAUAGCCGACCUGAGAGGGUGUAUGGCAACACUUGGACUGGAACACGGGCCCGACUCCUACGGGGUGCAUCAGGAGGGGAUCGUCGGCAAAGGACGGAAGUCUGACCGGGCAACGCCGCGUGAGUGAAGAAGGUUUUCGGAUCCUAAAGCUCUGUUUUUAAAGAAUCGGUAACUAACCAGAAAGGGACGGCUAACUACGUGCCAGCAGCCGCGGUAAUAC